rnacentral:rRNA from 1 species
UACGUAGGGUGCGAGCGUUGUCCGGAAUUAUUGGGCGUAAAGGGCUCGUAGGCGGUUUGUCGCGUCGGGAGUGAAAACCAGGUGCUUAACACCUGGCUUGCUUUCGAUACGGGCAGACUAGAGGUAUUCAGGGGAGAACGGAAUUCCUGGUGUAGCGGUGAAAUGCGCAGAUAUCAGGAGGAACACCGGUGGCGAAGGCGGGUC